rnacentral:rRNA from 1 species
UGCCUACGGGGGGCAGCAGUGGGGAAUAUUGCACAAUGGGGGAAACCCUGAUGCAGCCAUGCCGCGUGUGUGAAGAAGGCCUUCGGGUUGUAAAGCACUUUCAGCGAGGAGGAAAGGUUGGCAGCUAAUACCUGUCAGCUGUGACGUUCCUCGCAGAAGAAGCACCGGCUAACUCCGUGCCAGCAGCCGCGGUACUACGGAGGGUGCAAGCGUUAAUCGGAAUUACUGGGCGUAAAGCGCACGCAGGCGGUUGGAUAAGUUAGAUGGGAAAGGCCCGGGCUCAACCUGGGAAUUGCAUUUAAAACUGUCCAGCUAGAGUCUUGUAGAGGGGGGUAGAAUUCCAGGUGUAGCGGUGAAAUGCGUAGAGAUCUGGAGGAAUACCGGUGGCGAAGGCGGCCCCCUGGACAAAGACUGACGCUCAGGUGCGAAAGCGUGGGGAGCAAACAGGAUUAGAUACCCCAGUAGUC